rnacentral:rRNA from 1 species
GAUGAACGCUGGCUACAGGCUUAACACAUGCAAGUCGAGGGGAAACGACGGGGAAGCUUGCUUCCCCGGGCGUCGACCGGCGCACGGGUGAGUAACGCGUAUCCAACCUGCCUCUGACUGAGGGAUAACCCGUCGAAAGUCGGCCUAAUACCUCAUGGCAUCGUCUGCGGGCAUCCAACGACGAUUAAAGAUUUCAUCGGUCAGGGAUGGGGAUGCGUCUGAUUAGCUUGUUGGCGGGGUAACGGCCCACCAAGGCUACGAUCAGUAGGGGUUCUGAGAGGAAGGUCCCCCACAUUGGAACUGAGACACGGUCCAAACUCCUACGGGAGGCAGCAGUGUGGAAUAUUGGUCAAUGGGCGGGAGCCUGAACCAGCCAAGUAGCGUGCAGGAGGACGGCCCUAUGGGUUGUAAACUGCUUUUAUGCGGGGAUAAAGUGAGGGACGUGUCCUUCAUUGCAGGUACCGCAUGAAUAAGGACCGGCUAAUUCCGUG